UAAUUCUUUUUGAGUGAAGAAAAACGAAUACGGGGAGCUCUAAUCCCCCGCUCUCUCGUACGUCUCCUAGCCGAUUACGAGAGAGUAUCCGAAUGUAGUGGAGAUCUGAGUACCGUUUAACAAACGUAUCUUGAAGGAUAAAAUGCUUCCUCGUAAGAAAAGUUUUUAAUGAACAUUUUAUUCGUUAAAAUGAUUUGGAAAAGAGAGAAAAUCGUUCGAUCGUGAUGCGCGUUGUCGCGGUCUCGCCGAAUCUUCGGAAAAAAUUGUCUCGUAUCGAGAGCUUUUCCAAGGAGAUAUUACUUUGAUCUAAAGUUUCAAUAUUUCAAUCUGUUAAUCUUAUUCUUUUAUUUCUCGAAUGAAUUUAUUUUUCUCGAUAAAUAGACAAAUUUUUUUGAAAAUAUUCUUCACCGAUAAUGGCCAUCGUCGAAGAAUUCGAUUAUCUUUGUCGUUUGUGCGCGACCAAGACUGGAAUUCUCAUGGGAUUACCAAUCUUCGAGGCUGGCGAUCAGAUGCGUAACAUCCAUAAGAAAAUCGCAGCGUGCCUUCCCGUCCAAGUUUCAAUGACCGAUCAGCUUCCUAAAGUAGUAUGCGAAGAAUGCGCAUAUAAAUUAGAUCAAUUGUUUGAUUUUCGUGAAAAAUGUUUACAUACUGAAGGUAUGUUUAUGGAAAUGUUAAAAGAAAUUAGCAAGGAUGAAACAGUGCGUAUAUCGGAGCAUAGUUUAGAAGAGGUAGCUGAAAUGAAUAUGAAUAGAAUUCAAAGGAAUAUAGAUAGAAUACAGAGUGAUAUUGAAGAAGUCCAAAAUCAUGCUAGCAUAGUUUCUCAUGAAUCAGGGGUAACGGCUAUACAUACUAUGCAAGUUAUGGAUGAAAUGGAUUUAGCUGGCGAUGAACAAGUUGUUACGCAAGAAGAUAUUGGUCAACAGGAUCAUGAUAUGGAGGUUACUGACAUUGACUGUUUAGAUGGUGAAACAGUAAGAAUGGUCGAUGAACAUAUAAGAGAAGUUUCAAAUCAUCAAAUAGCUAUGCAUUUGGAAGAUGAUAUGACUGUAGUAGGAAAUUUAACUGUAGAUGGACAUUUGAGUCAACUUGGAAUAAAUUAUGUAACUUCCAUAAAUCCAGAAACUGAAACUAGAGGACAAUUAGUGCAUUAUUGUGAAAAUGUUAAGUAUGAAUCAGUGCCUAUAAAGCAAGAAUAUCAAAGGUUACAAGAGAGAUUAAAUUCUGAAGAUCCUACACAUGUAUUAGAAAAUAAUGUACCCACCGAUGGGUUUCAUUCCUCUCAACCAGAAACAGAAAGUGAGAUAGAGGAAACAAAUGUUAGUGAAAAUGAAGUUUGUAGAAGUAUGGAUGUAAAUCAUUCAAAUGUGUUGCCCUCCACCAGUCAAUCUAAUACGGAAAAUACGGAAGUUAUUGUUGAGUAUACUAAAGAAACUAAACAUACUUUAUUAGAAUCUAUAUUAAAUAAUCCAACCAUCGAUGAGACUAAUACCCAUUGGUAUGUGUGUCCUUUCUGUAAUGAAGCUGCAAUGGAAAUGAGUAAUUUUGCAGUACAUUUUGAACAACAUUUUUGUUCAUGCUCUUGUGGUUUGUAUUUUACAAGUGUAGAAGUAUUAAAUAUUCACAAAGAACAGUGUAACUCGUAUAAAACAAAGGAAGAUAAUAAGGAAAUAAAAGUAAUAGAAUCAGAAUUAGUUCCAUCGCAAAGCAAUGAUAAUGCAGAUAUCCAAAAGAAACCAUCCACUGUAAGACAAAAAUGGACACCCAAAAUUUGUACUCAGUGUGGUAAGCAGUACAGAACCAAUUAUAAAUUACAAGAGCAUAUGCGCAAACAUACAGGAGAAAAGCCUUUCCAAUGUCUGAUUUGUGAAAAAGCAUUUCGUAGCAAGAUAGGUCUUGCACAACAUACAGCAACACAUACUGGUCAGUUCGAUUACACUUGUUCUACUUGUGGCAAAGGAUUCCAGUGUAAAAGUUAUCUGAUCGUCCAUCAGAGAGUUCAUUCGGACUUAAAACCUUAUCCUUGUAGUACUUGUGGACAAAAUUUUAAAACUAAACAAUCCUUAUUGGAUCAUCAAAAUAGGCAUCUUGGUGUAAAGCCUUACAUGUGUGAAGUUUGUGGUAGAGGUUUCAUAACUAAAGGUCUUUGUAAGAGUCAUCAGAAAAUACAUUCAGGUAUGGAUAAUCGACAGUACCCAUGCAUAGUGUGUAAUAAAAUGUUUGUCAGCAAAAGUUAUCUUAAUACACAUUUACGUAUACAUACUGGUGAGAAACCCUAUCUGUGUGAAGUAUGUGGGAAAGGAUUUUUAACGCGUGUUGAUCUUAAAAUUCAUUCCACCAUGCAUACUGGUGAGAAAAGCUUUAAGUGUGAAAUGUGUGCUAAAGUCUUCGCUAGAAGAGCAGCUUUACGAUGUCAUAGAAGAUCGCAUACGGGAGAAAGACCAUAUAGAUGUGACGUUUGCGAUAAAACAUUUACUCAAUUUAGUCCAAUGGCUAUUCAUAAACGUUUACACACUGGUGAAAGACCAUAUGAAUGUGAUAUGUGCGGCAAAGCAUUCGUAUCACGAUCGACUAUGAUGUGUCACAGAAAAAAACAUCAUAUUCCUGUGACACCUACACAAAAAGAUGUUUUAGUUUCUAACGAGGAUGCAGAAGUGAAACACAUUAUAUCAACAGAAAUAGUGCUUAGGGAAUCACAUGACGGAAUCCAUAUUACUGCUGAUUGAAUAGAAACUGGAAAAAAAAUCUGAAAUAUUAAUUUAAAUUAACAAAAAUAGGAAAAGGCUCCAUGCUCUAUGUUUUGGGACAUGUAAUAUAUAUAUAUUGUAAAAGUUUAAUGCAAGAAAGAUAUUUUUUCAAGAAUAUUGUUUUAUAAAC
rnacentral:misc_RNA from 1 species